GAAUUGUGGCUAAGCGGUAGAGCGUUCGCCUCCCAUAUGCGAGACCCUGGGUUCGAUCCUCAGCACCA
rnacentral:tRNA from 1 species